UAAUACGUAGGGCGCGAGCGUUGUCCGGAAUCACUGGGCGUAAAGGGCGCGCAGGUGGGUUCGCAAGCGGGGGGUGAAAGGCCGGGGCUCAACCCCGGGACUGCUUCCCGAACUGCGGAUCUAGAGGGGGUCAGGGGCCAGCGGAAUUCCGGGUGGAGAGGUGAAAUUCGUAGAGAUCCGGAGGAACGCCGGCGGCGAAAGCGGCUGGCUGGGGCCGCCCUGACACUGAGGCGCGAGAGCGUGGGGAGCAAACAGGAUUAGAUACCCUGGUAGUCCACGCCGUAAACGAUGGGUACCGGGUGUCCGGGGGGUCGACCCCCCUGGGCGCCGCAGCUAACGCGAUGAGUACCCCGCCUGGGGAGUACGGCCGCAAGGCUA
rnacentral:rRNA from 1 species